UAACAUGGUUUAUGUGCUCGUUCUGGGUAAAUAGAGUUUCUAGCAUUUAUGUUAGUUACUUGUUCCCCGGAUAGUUUAGUUACGUAGCCAAUUGUGGAACUUUCUUGCUAAAAUUUUUAAGAAUACUAUUUGGGUUAAACCAAUUAGUUCUUAUUAAUUAUAACGAUUAUCAAUUAACAAUCAAUUCAGAACUGGCACGGACUUGGGGAAUCCGACUGUCUAAUUAAAACAAAGCAUUGUGAUGGCCCUAGCGGGUGUUGACACAAUGUGAUUUCUGCCCAGUGCUCUGAAUGUCAAAGUGAAGAAAUUCAAGUAAGCGCGGGUCAACGGCGGGAGUAACUAUGACUCUCUUAAGGUAGCCAAAUGCCUCGUCAUCUAAUUAGUGACGCGCAUGAAUGGAUUAACGAGAUUCCUACUGUCCCUAUCUACUAUCUAGCGAAACCACAGCCAAGGGAACGGGCUUGGAAUAAUUAGCGGGGAAAGAAGACCCUUUUGAGCUUGACUCUAAUCUGGCAGUGUAAGGAGACAUAAGAGGUGUAGAAUAAGUGGGAGAUAUUAGACCUCGGUUUGGUAUCGUCAAUGAAAUACCACUACUCUUAUUGUUUCCUUACUUACUUGAUUAAAUGGAACGUGUAUCAUUUCCUAGCCAUUAUACGGAUAUAUUUAUUAUAUCUUAUGGUAUUGGGUUUUGAUGCAAGCUUCUUGAUCAAAGUAUCACGAGUUUGUUAUAUAAUCGCAAACAAAUUCUUUAAUAAAACGAUGCAUUUAUGUAUUUUUGAUUUGAAAAUUUGGUAUAACUCCAAUUACUCAGGUAUGAUCCAAUUCAAGGACAUUGCCAGGUAGGGAGUUUGACUGGGGCGGUACAUCUCUCAAAUAAUAACGGAGGUGUCCCAAGGCCAGCUCAGUGCGGACAGAAACCACACAUAGAGCAAAAGGGCAAAUGCUGACUUGAUCUCGGUGUUCAGUACACACAGGGACAGCAAAAGCUCGGCCUAUCGAUCCUUUUGGUUUAAAGAGUUUUUAACAAGAGGUGUCAGAAAAGUUACCAUAGGGAUAACUGGCUUGUGGCGGCCAAGCGUUCAUAGCGACGUCGCUUUUUGAUCCUUCGAUGUCGGCUCUUCCUAUCAUUGUGAAGCAAAAUUCACCAAGCGUUGGAUUGUUCACCCAUGCAAGGGAACGUGAGCUGGGUUUAGACCGUCGUGAGACAGGUUAGUUUUACCCUACUAAUGACAAAACGUUGUUGCGACAGCAUUCCUGCGUAGUACGAGAGGAACCGCAGGUACGGACCAAUGGCACAAUACUUGUUCGAGCGAACAGUGGUAUGACGCUACGUCCGUUGGAUUAUGCCUGAACGCCUCUAAGGUCGUAUCCGUGCUGGACUGCAAUGAUAAAUAAGGGGCAAUUUGCAUUGU
rnacentral:rRNA from 1 species